UACAGAGGUCUCGAGCGUUAGGCGGAAUCACUGGGCUUAAAGCGUGUGUAGGUGGAUGCCUAAGUACCUUGUGAAAUCCCACGGCUUAACCGUGGAACUGCUUGGUAUACUGGGUGUCUUGAGUCACUCAGGGGCGAGCGGAACAAAUGGUGGAGCGGUGAAAUGCGUAGAUAUCGCUUGGAACGCCGAAGGUGAAAACAGGUUGCUGGGGUUGUGCCGACGCUGAGACACGAAAGCCAGGGGAGCAAACGGG
rnacentral:rRNA from 1 species